rfam:Poecilia formosa, whole genome shotgun sequence.
AAGGUGGCCUACGCUACUGCCAUGGACUGGUUCAUCGCAGUCUGCUAUGCAUUU